CGGAACGGGUGAGUAACGCGUGAGGAACCUGCCUCAAAGAGGGGGACAACAGUUGGAAACGACUGCUAUACCGCAUAAGCCCACGGCUCGGCAUCGAGCAGAGGGAAAAGGAGCAAUCCGCUUUGAGAUGGCCUCGCGUCCGAUUAGCUAGUUGGUGAGGUAACGGCCCACCAAGGCGACGAUCGGUAGCCGGACUGAGAGGUUGAACGGCCACAUUGGGACUGAGACACGGCCCAG
rnacentral:rRNA from 1 species